UACGUAGGGUGCAAGCGUUAAUCGGAAUUACUGGGCGUAAAGCGUGCGCAGGCGGUUAUGUAAGACAGGGGUGAAAUCCCCGGGCUUAACCUGGGAACUGCAUUCGUGACUGCAUAGCUAGAGUACGGUAGAGGGGGAUGGAAUUCCGCGUGUAGCAGUGAAAUGCGUAGAUAUGCGGAGGAACACCGAUGGCGAAGGCAAUCCCCUGGACCUGUACUGACGCUCAUGCACGAAAGCGUGGGGAGCAAACAGG
rnacentral:rRNA from 1 species